rnacentral:rRNA from 1 species
UACGAAGGGGGCUAGCGUUGCUCGGAAUUACUGGGCGUAAAGGGAGCGUAGGCGGAUAGUUUAGUCAGAGGUGAAAGCCCAGGGCUCAACCCUGGAAUUGCCUUUGAUACUGGCUAUCUUGAGUAUGGGAGAGGUUAGCGGAACUCCGAGUGUAGAGGUGAAAUUCGUAGAUAUUCGGAAGAACACCAGUGGCGAAGGCG